CUGUGGGAGAGUCCAGGUGUGACGCCGCUCUGCUCCUCCCGCUCUGCUCCUCCGUCUCUCCUCCUCCGUCUCUCCUCCUCCUCCAUCCAGAUGUUUGGUUUGUCUCCAGGAAACGGCUCAUGUUGUUUGCAACAACGUGACCUCUGACCUUAUCCUGGAGGGAGACGGCACAGAGAUACCGAUCAGGGAGAGCGGAUGUCCCGUCUCCAUGGAAACUGGUGAAAAACUCCUGAACACAAGCUUGACUCCAUUUCCUACGGCUUCAUCUGAAGAUCUCUGGUGGCUGAUCAUCUUCCUCCUCCUCCUCCUCAUCAUCAUCAUCAU